rnacentral:rRNA from 1 species
CCUACGGGUGGCUGCAGUGGGGAAUAUUGGACAAUGGGGGCAACCCUGAUCCAGCCAUGCCGCGUGUGUGAAGAAGGCCCUCGGGUUGUAAAGCACUUUCAGUGAGGAAGAACGCCUGGUGGUUAAUACCCAUCAGGAAAGACAUCACUCACAGAAGAAGCACCGGCUAACUCCGUGCCAGCAGCCGCGGUAAUACGGAGGGUGCGAGCGUUAAUCGGAAUUACUGGGCGUAAAGCGCGCGUAGGUGGCUUGAUAAGCCGGUUGUGAAAGCCCCGGGCUCAACCUGGGAACGGCAUCCGGAACUGUCAAGCUAGAGUGCAGGAGAGGAAGGUAGAAUUCCCGGUGUAGCGGUGAAAUGCGUAGAUAUCGGGAGGAAUACCAGUGGCGAAGGCGGCCUUCUGGACUGACACUGACACUGAGGUGCGAAAGCGUGGGUAGCAAACAGGAUUAGAUACCCCGGUAGUC